AAAUAACAAUUAUUAUUAUUAAUAACAAGUUUUUUCAUAUUGGUCAGCACUCGUUUCUUGCAGUAGAUUUCUUAUAUAACAAAUAAGUGUAAUAAUAUUCUUAAAUGGAAAAAAUCAAACCCAAAAAUUUAUACGUAAAAAGUAUGCUAAAAAAAUAGAAGAAAUGAAUUUGCAUAGGUACAUAUUUCAUUGGGAACUUUGAAAACAUUUUCCAGAGGAGCAUGACAAAAAAUAGUUUUAGAAAGGAAAAACAGAAAAAAUCACGAUCCCUUCAGACGACCCGUGGUCCCGCAAUGCAGCCAUGCUGAUAUCCAAGUGCACUAUUUUGUAUCCAAGUGCACUUUUUUGUAUCCAAGUGCCCUUUAUUAUGAAUCCAAGUGCCCUUCAUGGUAUCCAAGCGCUGAAAUCAUAUCUAAGUGCAGACCACUUGCAGCGAUAUGAGAAAGGUCGAUGUGAAAAUAUGAUUCCUGGGUCACACAAUGGAUUUAAACAAAAUGUAAACAUAUGCUAGCGGGUAUCCAACCGUUUUGGCGGGAAAGUUCUCAGCAUUCACUCUUGUUAAGAGAGGGAGAAGGUUAUCAAGCACGUUCACGAUGGGCUCGUUUGAAAUUUUGGGAAGUAGAGAGGAGAAUGAAGUAAAAGAAAAUACGAAGCAGGAAAGCAAAACAUUGGCAGAGAGUAAAACAAGCUGUAAAGAAAUGUCAUGCCAUGUCAUGUCAAGAAAAGAGAGGCAAGUCAUUUCAUUUUCCAGAACCUGUUAUUAUGCAACGUACCUUUAAAAAAAAUAACAACGCAAUUAAUAAUAAUUAUCAGAACUUUAGUUUGAAAUACACUAUGCAUUUAAUCAAUAUUUUAUCAAGAAAGUUAAAAUCAGUUUUUGAUGAUUGUAUAUAUUUAUUUCUGUAAAUGUAGCUGGAAUUAGACGUGUAUGGUGAAUAUGAGGGUAAAAGACAUAGACCAUUCUGCGACAUUGGCAACAACGUAAGAUUUCAUUCUCUUUUAUCUAUUUUCGCAAUUUCACAGAAGAAAACUCAUAACAACGUUUCUUUUGAGUCAUACUAUUUACAUUUGCAAAAAUUAUAAUAUCAUCUAGCAAGUAGUAGUAUAAUAGAGCAAUGAUGAACAGAAUCUGCUAGUUUUGUUUCCCACUCCUUCAAUUAUUCCAAAAUUGUCAAACUUAUUUUUUAAAGAUAAUUCUUGGUGAGAAAUGCAAAAGAUCGUGCAACAAAAAUGUUUCUUCGGACCUAAUACAAUUCGUGCAAAAAAAACAUCAAGAAAUGUCAACAUCUGAUGCUGUAUGCUACAGAGAGAGAUGCCUUGUAAAAAUGAAUAUAAACUCCAUGUAUGAAGCUUGGAAACAGUUUCGAGAAUUUUCUGGGGAGAAGCAGAGGGAGAGAAUUUUACACGUCUUCAGUACAAUGGCAACGACAGGAAACUGGGCUUUUUUCAUUGGAACCAAUAAGAUUUUUCGCAAAGCUUGGCAGUUCAUUCAUGGAAUUUCCAAUCAUAGGUUCUACUCUUUGAAGCAGGAUUUUGAAAUUCACGGUAGAGUUGACGAGAGAAGCGAGAAGCAUGGAACUAAACGGGAAACCAAAAAAGUGGCACAAGCGAUGAACUGGUUUGAGAAGUUUAUAGAUGAAAGUGGGGACCGAGCUCCGGAUGAAGAGAAGAUGUUUUUGCCGACUUGCUACACGAAGGAAGACAUUUAUUUCAGCUAUGUUGCUCAGAUGCAUUCGGAUGGUUUCGGGGACUCAACGCAAAUAGUUGGCAAAUCCUGUUUUUUUUAAUCUUAGCAACUUGUGGAAGCACCCUCAAAAUGUUGAAAUUUAUGUUCAUACUACAAUUGAGAAGCAAUUACUCUUCCAUCGAAGCUAAAGGGUUUUUAUGCAGAAUCUUUAGGCAUGAGCCUUCCCCCUUUUCAACUGGUUUCAGAGCUUCGGGCAUUUAUGAUGCCUUUUUCCUUUUUAGAGAAACCAAUUCACGAAAUGUGGAAUAUGCACAUUAAUCAAAGAACUGAAAAAGGAAUGUUCAUCCUUACGAGAGAAGACGUCAAAAGUCUUAAGGAGAGUCACAAUGACCUUCAAAGGGAUGUUCUAAAAAUUAUAAAAAGCUGCUAUGAUAACUUGGUAAAAUCAACCUUCUGAAGCAAACAAAGCCUCACGCCAAAUCAUUUUUUUGGUGUAGAUCUGAACGAAGAGUGUACUAUAACCUUAAGAGUUUAGCUUUUUUAUUAUCUCAUUUUUGAUGGUGGGUCAUACUCAUGAAGAUAUUGAUCAGGUAUAAUCUUAUCUUUAAUGUUAUUUUCAGUUCGAACUUUACUGAAUGCUGCCAUAUUUCUUUCAUAGUUAAUGGUUACAUCAGACAAAAUUGGCUUGACGGCCCAUGUAAAUUUCACUGGACACUUUCUAUAAAAUAUGUAGCAAUGGUGAUGUGAUUAAUUUAGCCAAAUUUUACUUAGAAAUAUUAUCAUAUACAUAGUACAUUCAAACAUAUGCCUCUCAAAAUCCAAUGGAGGCAAUAGAAAAUGGUGUAAGAUAUUGCAACGAACGGUUCACAGCAGCAGAACAUUAGUGGUGGCGAGAGUUUCUUGUGGAAGAGAAAAACAAUCUGGCGUGUUGGAAUGAUAUUUCCGAAGAGGAGUUGCAAAAUGGUGGAGGUCUUGGGUGGUAUCUCCACAAACUGGAAGAAUACGAAAAACUGGCAGUCCCUAUCUUUCGAGAAUCUCAAGACGUUGAGAAAAAGUUAAAUGCAGUCCAAGAACGUAUUGCCAAAAGUCAAAAGUUCAAGACGGUAACUUACAAGAGGUAAAUGUGGCUGCAAGGUUUUUGGAAAGAUGAAUCAAGUCCCAUAUGAUAUACCAGGAACACUAGUGUAAAAAAUCGCAGGAUUAUUUUAUGCAAUCAUUAAUCUUUUAGUCUUCGCUGUAAAAAAAUAAAGGAACAUUUGGAUGACAAGGAAAUCGUUUGCGGGGGAUCAGGAUUUUUUGUCGGUGUGGAUAUAAAUUAUGAAAAUAUUAAAAAUUAGACAUUUAAAAGUUUACAGUAGUCGAUUCAUCAAAAGUUAAAAAGUUCGUCAGAUUAUAUCCAUUGCUCUAAUUUGAAAAUGGAAACCGGGGUUGCUUGAGUAGAUGCUUUCUCAAUGCAUGGACUUUUUUAUUAUUCAGAACUGGUUGUUUCUUCCAAUAAUUUUAAAGCAAAGAUGAGCACAUUCAGUGGGAAGAAAUCAAAUGUUAAAAUAAUUUUGUGAGUUAAAUUCAAAAGUUAGUUCCUUUUGGAUUCGCGAAUCAAUUGAACACAUUUAUUUCUUGAUUUAAACAUAACCGUGUAUCAGAUUAAUUAUUUAUCAACACUUCGCAGAUGCCUUUCUAUCAGACCAUCUAAUAGAAUGUGUGAGAAGGAAGAACAUCUAAUAGAAGUUUGUAAUUUUCUGAUCAAUGAAAUGUUUUGAUAUUUAUUUCCCAAAACAUCUUUUAACAAUUGACUAUUCACACAUUCAACCUAUUCACAUGGUAGCCUAUUUUAGUCAUUAUAUUUAUCAUAUUUAAUAAGAUCGAAGAUAAGAUAAGAUUCAAUUGCUCCUUAUUUUAAAAAUAUAAAAUAACAAUAAGAAAAUAACAAUUAUUAUUAUUAAUAACAAGUUUUUUCAUAUUGGUCAGCACUCGUUUCUUGCAGUAGAUUUCUUAUAUAACAAAUAAGUGUAAUAAUAUUCUUAAAUGGAAAAAAUCAAACCCAAAAAUUUAUUCGUAAAAAGUAUGCUAAAAAAAUAGAAGAAAUGAAUUUGCAUAGGUGCAUAUUUCAUAGGGAACUUUGAAAACAUUUUCCAGAGGAGCAUGACAAAAAAUAGUUUUAGAAAAGAGAAACAGAAAAAAUCAUGAUCCUUCAUACAGCCUGUGGUCCCGCAAUGCAGCCAUGCUGAUAUCCAAGUGCACUAUUUUGUAUCCAAGUGCACUUUUUUGUAUCCAAGUGCCCUUUAUUAUGAAUCCAAGUGCCCUUCAUGGUAUCCAAGCGCUGAAAUCAUAUCUAAGUGCAGACCACUUGCAGCGAUAUGAGAAAGGUCGAUGUGAAAAUAUGAUUCCUGGGUCACACAAUGGAUUUAAACAAAAUGUAAACAUGUGCUAGCGGGUAUCCAACCGUUUUGGCAGGAAAGUUCUUAGCAUUCACUCUUGUUAAGAGAGGGAGAGGUUAUCAAGCACGUUCACGAUGGGCUCGUUUGAAAUUUUGGAAACUAGAGAGGAGAAUGACGUAAAAGAAAAUACGAAGCAAGAAAGCAAAACAUUGGCAGAGAGUAAAACAAGCUGUGAAGAAAUAGAGGCAAGUCAUUUCAUUUUCCAGAACCUGUUAUUAUGCAACGUACCUUUAAAAAAAAUAACAACGCAAUUAAUAAUAAUUAUCAGAACUUUAGUUUGAAAUACACUAUGCAUUUAAUCAAUAUUUAAUCAAGAAAGUUAAAAUCAGUUUUUGAUGAUUGUAUAUAUUUAUUUCUGUAAAUGUAGGUGGAAUUAGACGCGUAUGGUGAAUAUGAGGGUAAAAGAUGUAGACCAUUCGGCGACAUUGGCAACAACGUAAGAUGUCAUUCUCUUUUAUCUAUUUUCGCAAUUUCACAACGUUACUUUUGGGUCAUACUAUUUACCUUUGCAAAAAUUAUAAUAUCAUCUAGCAAGUAGUAGUAUAGUAGAGCAAUGAUGAACAGAAUCUGCUAGUUUUGUUUCCCAUUCCUACAAUUAUUCAAAAAUUGUCAAACUUAUUUUUUAAAGAUAAUUCUUGGUGAGAAAUGCAAAAGAUCGUGCAACAAAAAUGUUUCUUCGGACCUAAUACAAUUCGUGCAAAAAAAACAUCAAGAUAUGUCAACAUCUGAUGCUGUAUGCUGCAGAGAGAGAUGCCUUGUAAAAAUGAAUAUAAACUCCAUGUAUGAAGCACGGAAACAGUUUCGAGAAUUUGCUUGGGUGAAGCAGAGGGAGAGAAUUUUACACAUCUUCAGUACAAUGCCAACGACAGGAAACUGGGCUUUUUUCAUUGGAACCAAUAAGAUUUGUCGCAAAACUUGGCAGUUCAUUCAUGGAAUUUCCAAUCAUAGGUUCUACUCUUUGAAGCAGGAUUUUGAAAUUUAUGGUAGAGUUGACGGGAGAAGCGAGAAGCAUGGAACUAAACAGGAAACCAAAAAAGUGGCACAAGCGAUGAACUGGUUUGAGAAGUUUAUAGAUGAAAGUGGGGACCGAGCUUCGGAUAAAGAGAUGUUUUUGCCGACUUGCUACAUGAAGGAAGACAUUUAUUUCAGCUAUGUUGCUCAGAUGCAUUCGAAUGGUUUCGGGGACUCAACGCAAAUAGUUGGCAAUUCCUGUUUUUUUUUAAUUUUAGCAACUUGAGGAAGCACAAUCAAAAUGUUGAAAUUUAUGUUCAUACUACAAUUGAGAAGCAAUUAAUCUUCCAUCGAAGAUAAAGGGUUUUUACGCAGAAUCUUUUGGCAUGAGCCUUCCCCCUUUUCAACUGGUUUCAGAGCUCCGGGCAUUUAUGAUGCCUUUUUCCUUUUUAGAGAAACAAAUUCACGAAAUGUGGAAUAUGCACAUUAAUCAAAGAACUGAAAAAGGAAUGUUCAUCCUCCCUUACGAGAGAAGAUGUCAAAAGUCUUAAGGAGAGUCACAAUGACCUUCAAAGGUAUGUUCUAAAAAUCAUAAAAUGCUGCUAUGAUAACUUGGUAACUUAAUCAACCUUCUGAAGCAAAGAAAGCCUCAAGCCAAAUCAUUUAUUUGGUGAAGAUCUGAACGAAGAGUGUACUAUAGCCACCGAGACAAGGCAAAAGCAAACCCAGCAAAAUACUUGUCCAUGAUAAUUGACGUAAUGGGCCAAUUGAAAACAAACAUUCCUCACUACAUCACUGAUGCAAAGGUAAUAGCCUUUUUGUAUGGAACGCCAUGACUGCCUUAUGUUUUGCACUCAAAUUGUGUUGUGUCACCUAAUCAUUGCCUUCUGUCACAUUCUCAUAGGACUAUGACAAUUAAUCAUUCAAUUAGGUCAUCAUAGGAGUUCUCUGUUUGCAUUUCAUAGACCACCAUGUGCUCCUUUCGUCCUGUGCUGUUAUUUUGAGCAACGAUAAUGUCUACUCUAUGUUACGUUAUGUCAUUGUAGCAUCCAAGUGUGCCUAAGAACCAUUGCUUUAUGUUGCAGUAUCAAUGAACUAUUCUAUUUAAUCAUUACAUUAUACUAUUUCACCAUUAUACUACUUCAUCAUUACAUUAUACUAUUUCACCAUUACAUUAUACUAUUUCACCAUUAUACUAUUUCAUCAUUACAUUAUACUAUUUCAUCAUUAUACUACUUCAUCAUUACAUUAUACUAUUUCACCAUUAUACUACUUCAUCAUUACAUUAUACUAUUUCACCAUUACAUUUUACUAUUUCAUCAUUAUACUACUUCAUAAUUACAUUAUACUAUUUCACCAUUAUACUAUUUUACCUUUGCAACAAAUAACUUUGGCGGGAAACGCACGUUUUCUAACAAUCAAGAUGGCGGACAAUGCAGACUGUGCACGGCUCCAAGUUGCUCUUAGCAAAAUUGGUCUUGGAGCUCUGAUGGAAAGAUUUAGAGCCGAAAGAGUGGAUUUUCAUACACUCAUCUUGGCGACCAUACAUGGUGCAUUUAACACGAAGGUCCAUAAUGGAUUUCCGACUUGUGAGGUUUCCCAACAAUAUCUAGUGUGAUUUUCUCUUGCGAAAAUUUUUCUUUCAACUGUGGCAAUCCCAGGUUGUCGAGGAUGAUACUCAUGGGACAUUCCGCCAUCUUGAUUGUUAGAAAACGUGCGUUUCCCGCCAAAGUUAUUUGUUGCAAAGGUAAAAUAGUAUAAUGAUGAAAUAGUAUAAUGUAAUGAUGAAAUAGUAUAAUGGUGAAAUAGUAUAAUGUAAUGGUGAAAUAGUAUAAUGUAAUGAUGAAGUAGUAUAAUGAUGAAAUAGUAUAAUGUAAUGAUGAAAUAGUAUAAUGUAAUGAUGAAAUAGUAUAAUGUAAUGAUGAAAUAGUAUAAUGGUGAAAUAGUAUAAUGUAAUGGUGAAAUAGUAUAAUGUAAUGAUGAAAUAGUAUAAUGGUGAAAUAGUAUAAUGUAAUGGUGAAAUAGUAUAAUGUAAUGAUGAAGUAGUAUAAUGGUGAAAUAGUAUAAUGUAAUGGUGAAAUAGUAUAAUGUAAUGGUGAAAUAGUAUAAUGUAAUGAUGAAGUAGUAUAAUGGUGAAAUAGUAUAAUGUAAUGAUUAAAUAGAAUAGUUCAUUGAUACUGCAACAUAAAGCAAUGGUUUUUGGGCACACUUGGAUGCUACAAUGACAUAACGCAACAUAGAGAAGACAUGAUCGUUGCUCAAAAUAACAGCACAGGACGAAAGGAGCACAUGGUGGUCUAUGAAAUGCAAACAAAGAACUCCUAUGAUGACCUAAUUGAAUGAUUAAUUGUCAUAGUCCUAUGAGAAUGUGACAGAAGGCAAUGAUUAGGUGACACAACACAAUUUUAGUGCAUAACAUAAGGCAGUCAUGGCGUUCCAUAUUUUUGGAAAUAUUGCCUUUAUUUGUCCUGCUGAAACUAUUAUGGGGUGUGAGAUAGUUAAAUAAUGGGACCCUAAUAAUGUCAAUAAUAUUUGACUGAUGUUGCGGCUAACCAUAGCCAGUUAUGCGAAAACUAUAUUCGAAAACUCUUUUUGAUUUAAACAUAACAGCAGUAGAAUUAGAACAUAUGUAGAAACUUUUUUGGAUUUUGCUCAUGUUGAGGCCUGGGGGAGUCAGCCCGAACCUCGCGGCAGGUCAGUAUCUUUACUGUUAGCUUUAUUUGUGGUCGUAGUGUUUAACAUCAUUCAACUUUUAUAACUGAUUUUGUAUC